rnacentral:tRNA from 1 species
GGGCUCGUAGUUCAGUUGGUAGAACAUCGCAUUCGCAUUGCGAAGAUCACCGGUUCGACUCCGGUCGAGUCCA